rnacentral:lncRNA from 1 species
AUGUCCCUGCGUGUCCCCGGCCGCUCCCCAGCCUUCACUCCGCCGCCGGGCUCCCGCUCCUUUCUUCCUCUGUCACCGACAGAGGCUAAUGGGAUGCGUGGUCAAGAUUUUGGGAUCCAUCACUGCCUCCGCGAGAAAUUAGCAUGGAGCCCAUGCGUCAGCUGCCAGAGCUGUCAGCAGCCCUCUUCUUCGCUCUUCGGCACAUUAGCUCCUCUCUCCCCCAUCACAUCGACAGUAGAUAAAACUCUGGAGAACCGGAAUAAAACAAACUACUACUCCUCUCAGAAGGUAUAUGACUUUGUACUGAUGCGUUUGCCAGUUAGCUCCGCGCUGACUGUCGUUUCAUCUGUCAGUUAUCCCUUUCCCGGGUUUGUCAACUGUGUUUUUAGAGAUUCGCUUGUCAUCUGCAUCCUUCCUCAACAGGAACAUGCAGCCAGGUCGCAAUUAAAUAUACAGAUACACGAGCUGUUAGCAAGAUUUCACCCUCCCAUCCGCAGCCGAGCCGGGGAGAUGAUUGCCCUGUCACUUCUUCUUUAGACUUAAAACGCCUUAAAACUCGCCGGCAGAGCGCCGCGUUUGUUCGCCGGGCGCUCGCUUUUGUCCGCCUCCCUCUCGCCACCGACGGCUCCUUUGAAGCACCGGCUUCCCCGGCUCCUUCCCUGCCGGCCCCGCUCGGCCCGGCGCCCCGUGGACCCCCGCAUCCCCCNNNNNNNNNNGGGACACGCUGAUGGAGAACCCCGAGAUCUGCAGCCGUGCCCUGGCCGAGGCCCGGAGCCCGCCGGGCAGGAGGGGCUCUGCCACCGGCGAGCAUCGCCUCCGGCCGCCGGGCUGCUCUGCCCGGGAGGGUGGACACGGACACACCUCAUCCAGCCGAGUUUUGCCGUCGUGUGUCACAUCAGAGAAAAAGCGAGACGGCACUUCAUAAAGAAAGCGGGACUGAAACCCCCUCUAGUACUAGAAAGUGCUUUUCUACUCCUACAACUGCCUGCACGUUAAGGAGAUGAUGCUAUCUUAACACUAACAAGUUGAAUCGUUUCAGCUGCACCGCCAUAAAUAAAUAUAUGCCCUAUUUUAUAGGUCUAAUUAUU